rnacentral:lncRNA from 1 species
CCUAGCGAAGCAUCAGUUGUGCCAGUUCGCAGGGAUUUCUUGCCGUUGCACCGUUCUCUUGUUUCGAUUAGAGAUUUUUGCUGUCCGACAUUCACUAGUUGUGUUUUUGCACGGUUGAGGAGA